rnacentral:lncRNA from 1 species
CUGAGUUCAUUUGGAUUAAUGACCUGUGGAGUGCCCUCUCCCACCACUGAAUGUGAAUGCAGAAGGGCCAACAGUGGCUAAUCUUUAGUUUUAUUUAAAAAAAAAACAAAAACAAAAAACAAAAAGGAAGAGGUCCCCCCAUGUUUCAGAGAAGGGUUAAUGCUACUGCUGUUUGCCAUUGGUGUCCUGCGCCUAUGAAUUAUGCCACAUGUUCUACCAUGUCUUCCAUCUGCCAUUCUCCCAUAUGUAAUAGCCACACGUGGACAGAGUUACCACAGCCAUAAAUCCCCCUUCACCCCACCAUCCACCAUCAGUAAACAAAUGGCUUUGAAAGGGAGUGCAGCAACUUUAACAAAGGAAAAAGAACCAACACAACAAAAUAAAACCACAAAGGUGAAACCAAAACAGUUCCUCCAGAACAGAGCAAUGCACAACAGCCUCGCAUGGACCUUGCAGCGUUUUGCAACCCCAGGGCACAGCUCGAUGGGUCUGAUGCCAUCCCUUGGUGCAAGAUUCCUUGUUCCACGUUCUGGGGCACUGGGAGGUGGUUCCAGAUAGGUUUCAAAUGUGAGUUAUCUUGAUGCUUUGAGGCUGUAGUGGCCAGGUGCAUGCAGGGCCACCAAUCUCCAUGCUGCUUCCCAGCAGAGCAUCCCCAUCUCUACCCUCCGUCUGCAGGUCGUGUUCUCUGCAUGCUGCCCUUGGACCUCUUGGCAUGAAACGGCUGAUGGGGGUGCACAGAGUGCACGCCGUGCCCAAAAUACAUCUCCAUUGCUCAUGGGGAAGUCAUGGGAGGUCUUUCUGUAAUGGUGGUGAAUCAGUCCUGCAUUGGGUCAGUACAGCUGCACGCAGCCUGUGUGGCAGGGCACAGCUCAACCAACAGCCAAGUCCUGACACCAGUGCCAUCCUGACCACCAGCAUCCAGAGAGAAGUGAUGGCAGCGCCCACCUUCAUCUCUGAGACAGGAGCUCCAGGAUGGGAAAUCACAAUGGAGUGAAGCUGGAUAAAGUUUUAAACGACUGGAAACUGAUGCCUGCAAUGGAAAGUGUGGAACAGCCUAUCUGGUAGGUAUUAGAUGUGGUUCCACCCCACAGAUGUCUUUAUGGUAAGCUGAACACUGUGUUGGGAAUGCGGGAGGAGGAAGACGUGGAUCUCUUCACCCCCUUCCACCUGAGAUUUGUACUUGGAGUUAGCAGGGAGGCUUGUUUCUGCACUGAGCCUCCAGUUUGGCAGCUGAAACACUGCAUCUUUUCCUAUCUGUCCUCAGCUUCAGUAGUUCUUUGAACAGACCUUCUGAGUACAUCAGUAAGUGCCAUUAGAAAGUGCCUGAGACCUUGGUGAGAUCAGGUAAAAUGUACCUAAGACCUCCAUACAGCCACCAGCUGGCUUCUGUUAGGAAAUCCCCUGUCCUGCCAUAUUUUGUUGUCUCCCUCUCCCAUUGAGUGCAUCAAAGUACAGGUGAGGUCCCCAGGCUGCAUGUCCUGCUGGUGCCACAUGCUGUGAGCCCUGCUCAGCCUCUUCACACCCUCAGUGGGGCUGGGAGAAUUGGUCCGUGCUGCCGCCUGGAUCCUGCAAGUGCUCACCAGGACACUUUGCAGCGGUUCUGCUGCUGCCAGGCAGCUCCUGCUGGGCUCUCUGAGAUCAUGGCAGUGGGUAGGAGGGUGCUCAGAGGGGACACGAAGGCACCAUUCAAAGGGUGUCUGCAGUACUCGUGCCCAGGGCAGGCUCAGCAGGUCAGUACAGUGCAUCUCGCUCUGUGUCUUUGGUGGCAGGUUUGCAAUAGAAGACCUUUUGUUGAAGAGUGGCAUAAUGGAGUCCUUGUUUGCUGCUGUUCCUCUCCAUCUGCUUGCUCCCUACAUUCACAGUCCGGUCCUCUUCAGUCCCU